CUCAUGAAUGCACGGCCAAGUCUUUCCAGUUCUGGCUUCCUGUGGAACCGUGUUUUCUACGAGUCCCUUCACUCUUCCAACAAGCGGCAAAUCAAAUGGGAAUAUUUCUAG
rnacentral:lncRNA from 14 species